CGGGGAGUAGGGGAGGGCGGGCGAGUGAAUCCCCUUGGUUCGGGACCAAGGGGUCGCGGGUUCAAAUCCUGUCUCCCCCGACCA
rnacentral:tRNA from 1 species